rnacentral:hammerhead_ribozyme from 2 species
AGGCGAAACCCGGCUGGCACCGGGUCCGUAGGGCUGGCAUCCCUGCGCUGAUGAGCCUGCCAACG